AGCCCUGGGCUGGAACCCAGAGUAGAGGGCGGGCCCGGAUUCCCCCCAUCCCCUCACCUCCCUUUUUGAUAUAAGAGGAGUUGAUCUGGACUGUGGGUCCCACCAGAGGGGAAGGUCUCUGGCCUGGCCCUCAACCCAUUAGGUGGGCCAGCAGAGACUGUGGGGAUUGUUCUCCUCCUUUUCCCAAUGCUGGCCAGUGAUGAGGUUAGCCAAGUGAAUGGCAGGUUUGUGCCACUAACAAAACGAGCCAAACUGAGGACUGCCAUGAACCUCUGAGGCGAGCAAAUCUGCCAGAAAGCACAGAACCCACCAAGGCAGAGGAGGAACUUUAUCACAAUGGAGAGAGAGUAAUAGAGCAACCCCCCUGGAGAGAGAUGCAUAUACUGGUUCCAAUUGGAUUCUCCAGGGGCCAACAGGCAAAGAAAAAGCUUUUGGAUAAAGAGCCUGGUUUUAAACAGGCUGAUGGCCUUCUUCCUGCUCCAGCAAACGGACAGGACCCCGGUUCACAGAGGGCCCUAAUCCUUAGGGGAGGGUUUGAAGGACUGGGCCUACUGAGGCCUCAUAAGCCUGGGUGCUUGUUCUGAGUUGAAGCUGUGAUGAGCUGGUAACCACAAGGAAUCCCCCUUGUGUGGGAGUUUAAAGGACUGUUCCUGUCAGAAUCCAUGUUAGGUUGGGGUGAUCUGGGCAUGCGUGUAGGUUCUUUCAUUGUUUUUAUCUGUUUUCUCUGUGGUGCUUUUCACCUUAAGAAUAAAGCAGGCUUGCAUAGAAA